rnacentral:rRNA from 1 species
CCUACGGGGGGCUGCAGUGAGGAAUAUUGGUCAAUGGACGAGAGUCUGAACCAGCCAAGUAGCGUGAAGGAUGACGGCCCUAUGGGUUGUAAACUUCUUUUAUAAAGGAAUAAAACGAGGCACGUGUGCCUUUUUGCAUGUACUUUAUGAAUAAGGAUCGGCUAACUCCGUGCCAGCAGCCGCGGGAAUACGGAGGAUCCGAGCGUUAUCCAGAUUUAUUGGGUUUAAAGGGAGCGUAGAUGGGUUGUUAAGUAAGUUGUGAAAGUUUGCGGCUCAACCGUAAAAUUGCCAUUGAAACUGGCGGUCGUGAGUACAGUUGAGGUAUGCGGAAUGCGUGGUGUAGCGGUGAAAUGCUUAGAUAUCACGCAGAACCCCGAUUGCGAAGGCAGCUUACUAAACUAUGACUGACAUUGAUGCACGAAAGUGUGGGGAUCAAACAGGAUUAGAUACCCGAGUAGUC